UACGUAGGGCGCAAGCGUCGUCCGGAAUUAUUGGGCGUAAAGAGCUCGUAGGCGGCCUGUCGCGUCCGCUGUGAAAUCCCGGGGCUUAACCCCGGGCGUGCAGUGGAUACGGGCUGGCUGGAGGCAGGCAGGGGAGAACGGAAUUCCCGGUGUAGCGGUGAAAUGCGCAGAUAUCGGGAGGAACACCGGUGGCGAAGGCGGUUCUCUGGGCCUGUACUGACGCUGAGGAGCGAAAGCGUGGGGAGCGAACAGG
rnacentral:rRNA from 1 species